AGCGGCGGACGAGUGAGUAACGCGUGGGUAACCUGCCUCAUACACAUGGAUAACAUACCGAAAGGUAUGCUAAUACAAGAUGAUAUAAGAGAUUCGCAUGGAUUUCUUAUCAAAGCUCCGGCGAUAUGAGGUGGACCCGCGUCUGAUUAGCUAGUUGGUAAGGUAACGGCUUACCAAGGCGACGAUCAGUAGCCGACCUGAGAGGGUGAUCGGCCACAUUGGAACUGAGACACGGUCCAAACUCCUACGGGAGGCAGCAGUGGGGAAUAUUGCACAGUGGGCGAAAGCCUGAUGCAGCAACGCCGCGUGAGCGAUGAAGGCCUUCGGGUCGUAAAGCUCUGUCCUCAAGGAAGAUAAUGACGGUACUUGAGGAGGAAGCCCCGGCUAACUACGUGCCAGCAGCCGCGGUAAUACGUAGGGGGCUAGCGUUAUCCGGAUUUACUGGGCGUAAAGGGUGCGUAGGUGGUUUCUUAAGUCAGGAGUGAAAGGCUACGGCUUAACCGUAGUAAGCUCUUGAAACUGGGAAACUUGAGUGCAGGAGAGGAAAGUGGAAUUCCUAGUGUAGCGGUGAAAUGCGUAGAUAUUAGGAGGAACACCAGUAGCGAAGGCGGCUUUCUGGACUGUAACUGACACUGAGGCACGAAAGCGUGGGGAGCAAACAGGAUUAGAUACCCUGGUAGUCCACGCCGUAAACGAUGAGUACUAGGUGU
rnacentral:rRNA from 1 species